AAACCCGCCUCCUCAGUUACAUCACAAGGAAACAUGCCUUCUAAGGGCAAAAGCUGCCUGUUUCCACGCCCUAACAUUCAAACUGAAAACUGCGCGCCAAGGUUUUGCAGCAGAACAGAUUUGUAAUGAAAAAGAGAAAUGCCUCCCAGAAAGCGUAGGAAGUGUACUUCGGUCACUGUGAAAAAUCAUGCAGAAAAAGCUCAGCAACCCCUGCUGCUUGUUCAGAAAGCGACACUGCUUCCCCACUGCCACAGGCAUGCCCUCCUUCCUCCAGCACAGUCGCUGUGUCACUUCAGCAUCCACCUGUAUCACUGGCUGUGGCUUGCCCAGCUGUAAUACCCGACAGCAUGGCUACACCACAAGUAUUUGCUGAAGUCGAGAGCCUUCUCCCUCUUUCUUUCAACAAGAGAAAGAAAAGAUACAGUGUGACAGCAGAGGAGAUCAGGAAAAGGAUAGGUCCACCUGAGAAUGUGUCAGCCAAUUCCCUGGUUGCAUAUCUAAGGGUAAAUAAAAAUAAAAAGAG